rnacentral:rRNA from 1 species
CCAAUAGCGUAUAUUAAAGUUGUUGCAGUUAAAAAGCUCGUAGUUGAAUUUCGGGGUCUGUCCAUUGGUCGGGCUUUACGGUCCGUACUGGUGAGAUGGGUUCCUACCUUCUGAAUAACCAGCAUGCCAUUCAGUUGGUGCGUUGGGGAAGCAGAGCUAUUACCUUGAAAAAAUUAGAGUGCUUAAAGCAGGCUAGUGCUUGAAUAGAUUAGCAUGGAAUAAUAAAAUAGGACGGCAUGGUUCUAUUUUGUUGGUUUCUAGGAUCACCGUAAUGAUUAAUAGGGAUAGUUGGGGGCAUUAGUAUUCAAUUGUCAGAGGUGAAAUUCUUGGAUUUAUUGAAGACUAACUUCUGCGAAAGCAUUUGCCAAGGAUGUUUUCAUUAAUCAAGAACGAAAGUUAGGGGAUCGAAGACGAUCAGAUACCGUCGUAGUCUUAACCAUAAACUAUGCCGACUAGGGAUCGGACGAUGUUAAUUUUUUAAUGACUCGUUCGGCGCCUUACG